AAACAUACUGAUGCUAAAAUAUGUAGCUAGGAGAGAAGGAAAAAGAUAAUAAUGAUGAAGUUGUCCUUAUUUUUACAGACAGUAUUUAUAGCUCUAAGACAAGCCAGUGAGCAAGGAGUUAUUCGCUGUGAUGAACAGUUUUACUGCCCAAAUGGUUCACGUUGCUGUAAGGGACUCAGAGGCCAGUGGAACUGCUGUCCUAACUAACAGGAUUUUCUGACGGUCAGCGUAAAAUUAUGGAGCCUCCUUCGCAUGCCGAAGACAGAAGACGACGACCACAGGAACACACCAAAAAUACUCAAAUCACAUUAUUCGCUUUUACUUGGCCACUUUUUUCUCUAAUGAUAGGCAAACUUUCCCAAUAAAAUCUCAUUGCGUCUCACUGUCUCGCUUAGGUUGUGUACUGAUUAUCACGACUGUCAUAUAUAAUCUUCCUGCCUUGAUGUUACUUCAGGUGAAUGUUUAGCUGCAAGGAACAAUAAAGCAUUCAUGUGAAUUCCUC